rnacentral:rRNA from 1 species
UACGGGGGGUGCAAGCGUUAAUCGGAAUUACUGGGCGUAAAGCGUGCGUAGGCGGUUUGGUCAGUCAGCCGUGAAAGCCCCGGGCCUAACCUGGGAACGGCGGUUGAGACGGUCAGACUCGAGUGGGCUAGAGGAUUGUGGAAUUCCGGGUGUAGCGGUGAAAUGCGUAGAGAUCCGGAGGAACACCGAUGGCGAAGGCAGCAGUCUGGGGCCACACUGACGCUGAGGCACGAAAGCGUGGGGAGCAAACAGG